CAAGCCUCUGAGAGGGAUGAAGAUAUUGUUUUCUUUGAUCAGAUUAUGCCGGUAAAGGUUUUCUGGUUUACCCUAUAGGGCUUGUAGCUCAGUUGGUUAGAGCGCGCGCUUGAUAAGCGUGAGGUCGGAGGUUCAAGUCCUCCCAGGCCCACCAGUUACACGAUGCUAAAAGUUGCUAUAUUGGGAGAGUUGAUAAUCCCUUACAGGAAAUUAUUGCCCUUAAUAAAACUUUAUUUUCUAAAAGCAUUCAGAGCUGACAUAGAAUAGAGCUGACAUAGAAUUGAGAAUCUGACAUAGGAAUUAUUGAAAUUGUUUUGGAAUUAUUGAAAUUGUUUUCUAUCAUUUUAAAAGGCUAAAAUAUUCUGUCUCUAUUUUUAAAAUAGCAUCAGGUGUUUUGUAAGAGUGUGAAGAUUUUAAGAGUGGGGUUUUUUAUAUUUUAGUGUGAGGUUUUUAUAAGGGUAUGACGUGAGAGCGUUUUGACCUGUUUUAGGGGCCGUAGCUCAGCUGGGAGAGCACCUGCUUUGCAAGCAGGGGGUCGUCGGUUCGAUCCCGUCCGGCUCC
rnacentral:misc_RNA from 1 species